rnacentral:snoRNA from 4 species
AAAGCAGAGAUAUGUGUGUAUCGGCUUAGUGCGUUCAAAUGCACUUUUCACGAAAGAUUUCUUUGCAAUAUCCAAUUUGGGGCAGAUGGGCAGUUGUGAUUCAUCGUUCUAUUGAAUAGCUCAACAAUCAUCUUCCCCACAGCU